UNGGAGAGGAAAGUGGAAUUCCUAGUGUAGCGGUGAAAUGCGUAGAUAUUAGGAAGANCACCAGUGGCGAAGGCGACUUUCUGGACGAAAACUGACGCUGAGGCGCGAAAGCCAGGGGAGCGAACGGGAUUAGAUACCCCGGUAGUCCUGGCCGUAAGCGAUGGGUACUAGGUGUAGGAGGUAUCGACCCCUUCUGUGCCGGAGUUAACGCAAUAAGUACCCCGCCUGGGGAGUACGACCGCAAGGUUGAAACUCAAAGGAAUUGACGGGGGCCCGCACAAGCGGUGGAGUAUGUGGUUUAAUUCGACGCAACGCGAAGAACCUUACCAGGUCUUGACAUUGAUGGACAGAACCAGAGAUGGUUCCUCUUCUUCAGAAGCCAGAAAACAGGUGGUGCACGGUUGUCGUCAGCUCGUGUCGUGAGAUGUUGGGUUAAGUCCCGCAACGAGCGCAACCCCUAUCUUAUGUUGCCAGCACUUUGGGUGGGGACUCAUGAGAGACUGCCGCAGACAAUGCGGAGGAAGGCGGGGAUGACGUCAAAUCAUCAUGCCCCUUAUGACCUGGGCUACACACGUACUACAAUGGGAGUUAAUAGACGGAAGCGAGAUCGCGAGAUGGAGCAAACCCGAGAAACACUCUCUCAGUUCGGAUCGUAGGCUGCAACUCGCCUACGUGAAGUCGGAAUC
rnacentral:rRNA from 1 species